UGCCAGACACUUCAGAGUGUGACCCGUC
rnacentral:piRNA from 1 species